UUUUCAGACCUGUGCAACGGGUUUGAGAGACAAUGGGUCAGGAUGGGAACAUAGCAGCCCACCUCUUUUAGCUGUGUGCCGCAGGGAUCUGGGGAGAG
rnacentral:SRP_RNA from 1 species